rnacentral:rRNA from 1 species
UACGAAGGGUGCAAGCGUUACUCGGAAUUACUGGGCGUAAAGGCGUGCGUAGGUGGUUUGUUAAGUCUGAUGUGAAAGCCCUGGGCUCAACCUGGGAAUUGCAUUGGAUACUGGCAGGCUAGAGUGCGGUAGAGGGUAGUGGAAUUCCCGGUGUAGCAGUGAAAUGCGUAGAGAUCGGGAGGAACAUCUGUGGCGAAGGCGACUACCUGGACCAGCACUGACACUGAGGCACGAAAGCGUGGGGAGCAAACAGGAUAGAACCUUGUAGUC